rnacentral:rRNA from 1 species
CGCCGCGGUAAUACGUAGGGUGCGAGCGUUGUCCGGAAUUACUGGGCGUAAAGAGCUCGUAGGUGGUUUGUCGCGUUGUUCGUGAAAUCUCACGGCUUAACUGUGAGCGUGCGGGCGAUACGGGCAGACUUGAGUACUGCAGGGGAGACUGGAAUUCCUGGUGUAGCGGUGGAAUGCGCAGAUAUCAGGAGGAACACCGGUGGCGAAGGCGGGUCUCUGGGCAGUAACUGACGCUGAGGAGCGAAAGCGUGGGGAGCGAACAGGAUUAGAUACCCUGGUAGUCCACGCCGUAAACGGUGGGUACUAGGUGUGGGUUUCCUUCCUUGGGAUCCGUGCCGUAGCUAACGCAUUAAGUACCCCGCCUGGGGAGUACGGCCGCAAGGCUAAAACUCAAAGAAAUUGACGGGGGCCCGCACAAGCGGCGGAGCAUGUGGAUUAAUUCGAUGCAACGCGAAGAACCUUACCUGGGUUUGACAUGCACAGGACGCCGGCAGAGAUGUCGGUUCCCUUGUGGCCUGUGUGCAGGUGGUGCAUGGCUGUCGUCAGCUCGUG